rnacentral:rRNA from 1 species
UACGUAGGGGGCAAGCGUUGUCCGGAAUUAUUGGGCGUAAAGCGCGCGCAGGCGGUUUCUUAAGUCUUGUGUUUAAUCCCGGGGCUCAACCUCGGUUCGCAUGGGAAACUGGGAAACUGGAGUGCAGGAGAGGAAAGUGGAAUUCCACGUGUAGCGGUGAAAUGCGUAGAGAUGUGGAGGAACACCAGUGGCGAAGGCGACUUUCUGGCCUGUAACUGACGCUGAGGCGCGAAAGCGUGGGGAGCAAAC